GAUGAACGCUGGCGGCGUGCCUAAUACAUGCAAGUCGAGCGAACGGACGAGAAGCUUGCUUCUCUGAUGUUAGCGGCGGACGGGUGAGUAACACGUGGAUAACCUACCUAUAAGACUGGGAUAACUUAGGGAAACCGUAGCUAAUACCGGAUAAUAUUUUGAACCGCAUGGUUCAAAAGUGAAAGACGGUCUUGAUGUCACUUAUAGAUGGAUCCGCGCUGCAUUAGCUAGUUGGUAAGGUAACGGCUUACCAAGGCAACGAUGCAUAGCCGACCUGAGAGUGUGAUCGGCCACACUGGAACUGAGACACGGUCCAGACUCCUACGGGAGGCAGCAGUAGGGAAUCUUCCGCAAUGGGCGAAAGCCUGACGGAGCAACGCCGCGUGAGUGAUGAAGGUCUUCGGAUCGUAAAACUCUGUUAUUAGGGAAGAACAUAUGUGUAAGUAACUGUGCACAUCUUGACGUUACCUAAUCAGAAAGCCACGGCUAACUACGUG
rnacentral:rRNA from 1 species